rnacentral:ncRNA from 2 species
UACUUCCACAAGGGGAGCCGCUUUUAAGGCUGAGAGUGAACGAUGAUAAGUUCUGACCCUUUGAACCUGUUAGUUAACGCUAACGUAGGGAUGUGGUUUGCCGGAUAG